rnacentral:rRNA from 1 species
CUAAUAGGAAACAAGGGCACAUGGUGGAUGCCUAGGCUCUACAUAGCGAUGAAGGACGUGAUAUGGCGGCGAUACGCUUCGGGGAGGUGCCUAAUAACCUUUGAUCCGGAGAUCUCCGAAUGGGGGAACCCUAGAAAGUGAACCUUUCUAAUCUAACAGCUUGACUGUUAGGAGCGCACCCAGGGAAGUGAAACAUCUCAGUACCUGGAGGAAAAGAAACCAAAUAGUAUUUCCUGAGUAGCGGCGAGCGAAACGGAAGAAGCCCAAACCUGUCCAAUAUUGGUUGUUUGAAACUUGUUUUGAACAACCAAUAUUGGACGGGGGUUGUAAGGUAACAACGACGUUUUACGUAAAAAGUUACAAAAUGUGGUAAUAGAAAAAUGUGCUGGAAAGCACAACCAUAGGAGGUGAUAGUCCUGUA